GAUGAAGAACGCAGCGAAAUGCGAUACUUGGUGUGAAUUGCAGAAUCCCGUGAACCAUCGAGUCUUUGAACGCAAGUUGCGCCCGAAGCCAUUAGGCCGAGGGCACGCCUGCCUGGGCGUCACACGUCGUUGCCCCCCCAUCUACUCCUUCGGGAUUGCGGGGGGCGGAUGAUGGCCUCCCGUGCGCCUCGUCGCGCGGUUGGCAUAAAUGCCAAGUCCUCGGCGACGCACGCCACGACAAUCGGUGGUUGCGAAACCACGGUUGCCCGUCGGGUGCGGUCGUCGCGCAUCGAGGGCUCGAAAAAAUUGCCGGGCUCCGGCUCGGCUUUCAACGCGACCCCAGGUCAGGCGGGGUUACCCGCUGAAUUUAAGCAUAUCAAUAAGCGGAGGA
rnacentral:misc_RNA from 1 species